GCCACUAAAAUGUAAUUGCAAGGGACAGUUGGGUCUAAUUUUGAUUUUGAAUGAAGACUUGUAUAAAAAAAAAAAUGAGCUGCCUCCAAGCCAGCUUGGCAGAUUUAAAGCCAAGCCUACAAGCAACUGCCUGCUAAUCUUUUAUUGAGAUUUGAAGAGGUGGUUUCUUCCAUGAACUUGCAGUUUAGCUCUUCUGCAUCUAGUGAACAACUUUUACCAAUGGUGCUCUACGUGUAUGAAGUUAUUUAAUACUUAUAACAACUUUAUGAGAUGGAAUGAUCCAUUUUACCUGCAGAGAGUGCAAGGAUCAAGGAAAGGUUUGCGGCACUCUUGAAUUGAGCAAGAUCAUCAACACCAUUUUACUAACAGCAUGUGCUUACUUGGUGUCUCUGUGUCAUAUUUUAGUAAUUCUUGCAAUAUUUCAAACUUUUUCUAUAUUAUUGUAUCUGCUAUAGUUAUUUGUGAUAAGUGGCCUUCGAUGUUACUAUUGUAAUUGUUUUGUGGCAUCUCAAACUGUAUCCCUAAAAGAUGGCAAAUUUAAUCAAUAAAUGUGUGUCUUCUGACUGCUCUACCAACCAGCCAUUAUUCAAUCUCUUUCCCUGCCUUCAGGCCUCCCUAUUCUCUGUAUUGAAAUUAGGCCUCUAAGUGUUCAAGUGCAAGGAAGAGUCACACAGCUCUCACUUUAAAUCAACCUUGUCCAACCCACAGCCUGUGGGCUGCAUGCAGCCC
rnacentral:lncRNA from 10 species